rnacentral:tRNA from 1 species
CGGGGCGUAGCGCAGCCUGGUAGCGCACUUGCUUUGGGAGCAAGAGGCCGCGGGUUCGAAUCCCGCCGCCCCGACCA